UCGAAGGUGUGAGCAUCUUCCCACACUGCCAGAUUUGAAUAUUUAAUCUAGAGAAUGAACUUGAGCUGAAAUGCAACUCCUUUGGCAAUGGAAAGUGCCUUUGAAGUUUUUGGAUCUUCUACGUUCCAUGUUUCCUGUUUUAAAUUAAAAGAACAAAGCACUCUCGAAUAGCGCACUGUAAGCACCCUGCGAAACCUGCAUCUCAGACAUCUGGCCGCCUGACGUGAGGAGCCAGACAGGAGAUCUGGGGGCAUUUCAUUCAUCUUCCCAUCAAACGACCUGCCCUAGAGGCCAGAUGGAAGCGUGAUCCUUCAGCAUUGCUUGCUUUGCAUAAUGUGGGGAUUGGAACUACAUUUGAAUAGCACAUAGUCUUAGAAGUGUAAGUAUGUAAAUAUUUUUCUUUUCCAUCCAUGUAUUUUUCUCUUCUAACGUUUUGGUUUGGUUUUCUUGAAUGAGAGUUUUCUACAGGCAAAACUGUCACAAACAAGUAAAUGCUGUGCCCUGACAGAAGAGCCUUACACAGAAGAAAACAGUGAUUUUGGUCAAGGAGAUUUGAGACAGAAACUGACGCUCAAGUGGUGUUUCUGAGACAGCUGAUGACUUACCUUGGUUUCAGGGCACUGAUAAAACUGCUGUUGGACUGAUCUGGAAUGAUGUGGGGGUUUUUUGGGGUUUGGUUUUGUUUUUUAAUUCUUCAGAAGCUUUAUUUCAAGCUCUCCUACAAUCCUAACUUUGAUUUUAGUUGUACUUAUGGAUAUAUUCUCUUCUGUCAGACUGCAAUCAAUUGAUUGAAAUCCAUAAACAAUAAGCAUCAAGUUUGAAUUUAAGAUACAGCAACAAGAUGCUAUCGGAAGAAGUUUUACGUACUUGAGCAGCUUUUUAUAGCUAACUCCCUCCAUAGUCAGAUCCUGUCACGCUCUUAGCGAUAGGAAGCGAAUGGCUUUCCCCCAAUGUUUGUUGAAGCCCAUGUGACAAAUCCUACAUGGCACCUGAAGGACACUUGCGCACCUGUUUGUGGAAGGGUUACAUAAAGAGUCCUGCGACAUAUUUUAGCAUCUACCAUUAAGCUGAGCAACUUGACCUGCUCUACCCUUUGUAGGUUACAUGGUAUUAAAUUAGCAACGAGAAAUAGAAAAAGAAAAAAAAAAAAAAAAGACAUACUAACAUGAAAAAACACAUUUUAUUGCACUUAAGUUAUAAGAAAAUAAAAUUUCUAAGUGAAUCAAACCAUAGACACAAUCCCUUUAAAGGUUGUUUUCCUCCAUCAUGUCAGGUUGUUACAUAACUAAAAUUAACCAACUGGAAUCUGAUUGUUUUAAAUCAGACUAUAAAUAAAACAAAAACAAAAAAAAAAAAGGAGGAAAAAAGAUCGCCUAGGAUACAGUGUUAAACCACUUUCACAGUUCAGCUUGAGUUGUGGCUCUUGGAGAAUGAGGCAAACCAUUUGACUCUUUCAUUUCUUGUUUUGUUUGCAUGUGACAUCUUUACAAAAACGUACGUUUUUGCUCUGUCAGUUCCUCCCAGCAAUAACUGUAACAGUUGUUUUUUUUUCUCAAAUACUGUAAAACACUAAGACUGACCAGCAACUUUAUUUUCAUUUUUGUAUUUUAUAAUAUUUUUAAAAAAUUUUGUCAGUUUUUUUUUUAAUGUAUGUUCAUUCCAUUCACCACAGCCCUCACAAAGAAAAAUUUCCCCACAGAACAGGCUGCAAUAGCUUUGUUCUAAGGAAUGUGUUUUAAUUUUUGCCCAGAAAAAAGAAAAUAAGCUUUGCACACACACUCAAUUCUUUAUUUGCAGGCAAACUUCACUCGUAAUUGUCUGAAACUCUUCCACUCUCAGCCUCUUAGAGGCACAGUUGGCUGAAGUUUCAGUGGCAAAAAGUCUUUUUUCUGUAACCAAACUAGAGCAAAUUUGGAAUUCAGUCUGGGACUAAAACGUCACAGCAGAAAAAAAAAUAAAAAAAAAUAAUUUGCUUUUCUUUCUUUCAUUUAGCAGCAUAAAUAAGUUUGGCCACUGGGAAUACAGUACAGGGGUGGGACAACAAUCCCGUAAUUGAAGACCUACUUCUAGCACCAGCAUUGCGAAUUAAAUCCAUCAGAGGACUCUCAAAACCCAGGACAACUUGCCACCUCAGAGCAACUUUUGCGUUGAAGAGUGUAGAUGGAAGCAACAGUAAAUAGAUUAAACAGAGGCUAAUACUGUGAUUGACAUUGGCAAUGGUUGGCAAAAAAAAAGAGAGGAAUAAAAGGAAAAAAAAAGAAAAAGCUCUGAUAAAACUGUACAAAACAAUUCACAGUAAUAUUUUAGCUUUUCCACACCAGGAAUGGACUCCUUGCUUUUGUUUGUUUUUGUGGUGUGUUUUUUUUUUUUGUUAUUUUUCAUUGCAGAUGCUCUCUAGUUUUUGAAAGUCAACCAGUGACUGCUCGUGGAGGUUGGAAGGGACCGCUGGAGGUCGUCCGGUCCAACCCCCCGCUCAGAGCGGGGCUAAGGGAGAGCGCGUUGCUCGGAGGGGCUGCCGGGACCCAGGGGCGCAUGAGCAGGCUCACCUGUGCAGCUUCUUUCAAGAGCUUUGUGGUAAAAUAACCUGUUAACAAGAA